GCUGGGUGUGCCUGACGCGGUAGUAUGCACCUGUCGUCCCAGCUACUCAGGAGGCUGAGACAGGAGGAUUGCUUGAGUCUAGGAGUUCUGGGCUUUAGUGGGCUGUGCUGAUUGGAUGUCCACACUAAGUUCACCAUCAGUAUGGUGACCCCCUGGGAGCAAGGGGCCACCAGGUUGCCUAAGGAGGGGUGAACCGGCCCAGGUUGGAAAUGGAGCAGGUCAAAACUCCUGUGCUGAUCAGUAGUGGGAUUGUGCCUGUAAAUAGCCACUGCACUUGAGCCUGGGCAACAUAGUGAGAUCCUGCCUCUU
rfam:Otolemur garnettii contig070911, whole genome shotgun sequence.